rnacentral:rRNA from 1 species
GACGAACGCUGGCGGCGUGCCUAAUACAUGCAAGUUGAGCGAUGAAGAUUGGUGCUUGCACCAAUUUGAAGAGCAGCGAACGGGUGAGUAACGCGUGGGGAAUCUGCCUUUGAGCGGGGGACAACAUUUGGAAACGAAUGCUAAUACCGCAUAACAACUUUAAACAUAAGUUUUAAGUUUGAAAGAUGCAAUUGCAUCACUCAAAGAUGAUCCCGCGUUGUAUUAGCUAGUUGGUGAGGUAAAGGCUCACCAAGGCGAUGAUACAUAGCCGACCUGAGAGGGUGAUCGGCCACAUUGGGACUGAGACACGGCCCAAACUCCUACGGGAAGCAGCAGUAGGGAAUCUUCGGCAAUGGACGAAAGUCUGACCGAGCAACGCCGCGUGAGUGAAGAAGGUUUUCGGAUCGUAAAACUCUGUUGGUAGAGAAGAACGUUGGUGAGAGUGGAAAGCUCAUCAAGUGACGGUAACUACCCAGAAAGGGACGGCUAACUACGUG